rnacentral:rRNA from 1 species
CGUUAUUCGGAAUCAUUGGGCGUAAAGGGUGCGUAGACGGUAUGUUAAGUCCGCUGUUAAAUUUUCCGGCCUAACCGGAAAUCUGCAGUAGAAACUAGCGUACUAGAGGUUGGAAGAGAGAAGUGGAAUUCUCGGAGUAGCGGUAAAAUGCGUAGAUCUCGAGAGGAACACCAAUGGCGAAGGCAGCUUCUUGGUCCAUACCUGACGUUGAUGCACGAAAGCGUGGGGAGCAAACAGGAUUAGAUACNNNNNNNNNNAUACCCUGGUAGUCCACGCUGUAAACGAUAAUCACUAGAUGUUGGUUUUGUUUGACAAGAUCAGUAUCGUAGCUAACGCGUUAAGUGAUUCGCCUGGGGACUACGGUCGCAAGAUUAAAACUCAAAGGAAUUGACGGGGGUCCGCACAAGCGGUGGAACAUGUGGUUUAAUUCGACACUACGCGAGGAACCUUACCUAGGCUUGACAUGUAUUUGACCGUCGUGGAAACACGAUUUUUUAGGCUUCGGUCUAGACAGAUACACAGGUGCUGCAUGGCU